GAUGAACGCUAGCGGCAGGCCUAAUACAUGCAAGUCGAGGGGCAGCGGGGGUAGCAAUACUUGCCGGCGACCGGCGCACGGGUGCGUAACACGUAUGUAAUCUACCCUUUACUGGAGAAUAGCCCGAAGAAAUUCGGAUUAAUGCUCCAUAAUAUCACUGGGAGGCAUCUUUUGGUGAUUAAAGUUCCGACGGUAAAGGAUGAGCAUGCGCGAUAUUAGCUAGUUGGUGAGGUAACGGCUCACCAAGGCGACGAUAUCUAGGGGUACUGAGAGAUUACACCCCCACACUGGUACUGAGACACGGACCAGACUCCUACGGGAGGCAGAAGUAAGGAAUAUUGGACAAUGGGCGGAAGCCUGAUCCAGCCAUGCCGCGUGUGUGAAGAAGGCCUUUUGGUUGUAAAGCACUUUAAGCGAGGAGGAGGCUCUUAAGGUUAAUACCCUUGAUGAGUGGACGUUACUCGCAGAAUAAGCACCGGCUAACUCUGUGCCAGCCGCCGCUGUAACAC
rnacentral:rRNA from 1 species